rnacentral:rRNA from 1 species
GCUUAUGGCCAUACCACCCUGAGAACGCCCGAUCUCGUCCGAUCUCGGAAGCUAAGCAGGGUCGGGCCUGGUUAGUACUUGGAUGGGAGACCGCCUGGGAAUACCAGGUGCUGUAAGCU